ACUCAGGCGCUUGAGAGAACUCGGGUGAAGGAACUAGGCAAAAUGGUGCCGUAACUUCGGGAGAAGGCACGCUGGCGGUAGGUAAAGUCCCUCGCGGACAGAGCUGAAGCCAGUCGAAGAUACCAGCUGGCUGCAACUGUUUAUUAAAAACACAGCACUGUGCAAACACGAAAGUGGACGUAUACGGUGUGACGCCUGCCC
rnacentral:rRNA from 1 species